AGUACAGCAUGCUGCUUCAUCACUCCAUGCCAACUACAAGUAUCCUGUACCAGGAAGUCAAACCAAGACGUGGGAUGUUCAGUCUCUUCGCAGCGAAGCC
rnacentral:lncRNA from 1 species